rnacentral:lncRNA from 1 species
ACAUACGCAUGCACAGGCACGUGUGUACACACAUGCAGAUACACCCACAGCAUGCCAUCUGUGACACACACAGACGUAGGUACAUGGAGACACAUGCACACACAGGUCUGUGCACACACAUACGCAUGCACAGGCACCUAUGUACACACAUGCAGAUACACCCACAGCAUCCCAUCUGUGCCACACACAGACAUAGGUACAUGAAGACAGAUGCACACACAGGUCUAUGCACACACGUAUGCAUGCACAGGCACCUGUGUACACACAUGCAGAUGCACCCACAGUAUCCCAUCUGUGCCACACACAGACAUACGUACAUGGAGACAGAUGCACAUACAGGUCUAUGCACACAUGUACACAUGCACAGGCACCUGUGUACACACAUGCAGAUGCACCCGCAGUAUCCCAUCUGUGCCAUACACAGACAUACGUACAUGGAGACAGAUGCACAUACAGGUCUAUGCACACAUGUACACAUGCACAGGCACCUGUGCACACAUAUGCAGAUGCACCCGCAGUAUCCCAUCUGUGCCACACACAGACAUACGUACAUGGAGACAGAUGUACACACAGGUCUAUGCACACAUGUACACAUGCACAGGCACCUGUGUACACACAUGCAGAUGCACCCGCAGUAUCCCAUCUGUGCCACACACAGACAUACGUACAUGGAGACAGAUGCACACACAGGUCUAUGCACACAUGUACACAUGCACAGGCACCUGUGCACACAUAUGCAGAUGCACCCGCAGUAUCGCAUCUGUGCCACACAGACAUACGUACAUGGAGACAGAUGUACAUACAGGUCUAUGCACACAUGUACACAUGCACAGGCACCUGUGCACACAUACAUACAGAUGCACCCGCAACAUCCCGUCUGUGCUGCCCUAUUAGGUUUGUGGCCAUUUGGGGAAUCUUCCUAAAACCCUAAAAGCUAGGGCAGGUCUGCUUGAGCAGGAGCAGCAGGGUCUGGGGGACCCCUGAGGGCAGGACAGUCAGGGACCCACAGUUGAGCUGGGCCCGCUGAGCCCUGGAUCCUUCUUGGUGUCUUAUCCUGGCCAGCAAGCAAGUGUGAGCUCCUGUGGGUCUCCAGAGGCCCAUGAGGACCAGUGGGCCAGUUGGGAACAAGGCUUGGCGUCCUCUUCAGGGGGGAACACCAGGGCAGGCCUGAGGAGGCCUGUGUCCCCAGCCUGUCAUUGCUGUGGCUCCGCUUCUCAGGGAGCCUAGGAAGAAGGUGUGGCAAGAGCCCGAGGCGCUGGCUGCACCUGGCGGGGCCUGUGGGCGUCAGUUUAGACCCAUCCAUUCUCACUGCAGCAUUCCAGGGUUUGCCCUUAUGCUCGGCUGUGUGAGGGUGAGGAUGAUGCUGUGGGGGCAUGCAUGCUGGGUGUGUUUCAGCCUUCUCUUCCACCAGGCAUCCUGACAUCGAGGCCCAGGAGAGAGGAGUCCGGUGUCUACUUGAGAAACAGCUCCCCAAUGGCGACUGGCCGCAGGAAAACAUUGCUGGGGUCUUCAACAAGUCCUGUGCCAUCUCCUACACGAGCUACAGGAACAUCUUCCCCAUCUGGGCCCUCGGCCGCUUCUCCCAGCUGUACCCUGAGAGAGCCCUUGCUGGCCACCCCUGAGAACAUGCCUACCUGCUGGGUGCCGUCUGUGCGUUCCAGUGAGGCCAAGGGGUCCUGGCCGGGUUGGGGAGCCCUCCCAUAACCCUGUCUUGGGCUCCAACCCCUCAACCUCUAUCUCAUAGAUGUGAAUCUGGGGGCCAGGCUGGAGGCAGGGAUGGGGACAGGGUGGGUGGCUUAGACUCUUGAUUUUUACUGUAGGUUCAUUUCUGAAAGUAGCUUGUCGGGCUUGGGUGAGGAAGGGGGCACAGGAGCCGUGACCCCUGAGGAGGCACAGCGCCUUCUGCCACCUCUGGGCACGGCCUCAAGGUAGUGAGGCUAGGAGGUUUUUUCUGACCAAUAGCUGAGUUCUUGGGAGAGGAGCAGCUGUGCCUGUGUGAUUCCUUAGUGUCGAGUGGGCUCUGGGCUGGGGUCGGCCCUGGGCAGGCUUCUCCUGCACCUUUUGUCUGCUGGGCUGAGGGACACGAGGGCAACCCUGUGACAAUGGCAGGUAGUGUGCAUCCGUGAAUAGCCCAGUGCGGGGGUUGCUCAUGGAGCAUCCUGAGGCCGUGCAGCAGGGAGCCCCAUGCCCCUGGGUCGUGAGCUUGCCUGCGUAUGGGGUGGUGUCAUGGAGCCUCAUGCCCCUGGGUCGUGAGCUCGCCUGAGUAUGGGGUGGUGUCAUGGAGCCGCAUACCCCUGGGUUGUGAGCUCGCCUGCAUAUGCAGGGUCUGUCAUGGAACAUCCCAAGUCUGUGCAGCAGGGAGCCCCAUGCCCCUGGGACAUGAACCCACCUGCGUGGAAUGCUGUUUGUGAGGUGUCUACAGGGUUUAUAGUAGUCUUGUGGACACAGAAAUGCACAGGGGACACUUACGGACACAGAAAUGCACAGGGGAGGCCGAGCAUAACCAGGGGUGAGGGGCAGGCAGCAGUUGUAGUUACUGCCGCGGGGCACUGCUAUGUGCAGGGACAGCCAGCACCCAGCCCAUCACCACUCCCUGGGCUGGCUGGCAGGUAUGGCACCCUGGGAGCCCGGCAUAUACCCAGGGCACCCCUACGGCUGCCGCCAGUCUCAUGCCCAGGUGGGUGCUCUGGGCUGGAGCGAGGGCCAGGUUUUGGGCCGAGGCUUCCCCAGGCAAUCCUGUGAGCUCCCUUCUAGCCUCUGACCCAGUCUGGUCUGGCUUGCAUGGAUGUAGGGCUUGGGGUGGGAAGUUCAGGUCCUGGCUUUGCCUUUGCCUGAUGUGGAUGAGCAGCUCACAUGCUCAGGGCCACCUGAGACUGUCACUGCUCUCCCCUGGCUACUGGGAGGAGUCACUGAGAGCUUCGUUACCCCUGCUGCCUUGCCCAGGGCACACCCUAUACCUCCUUAUCUGCUCUUCCCCUCCCUGCCGCCUUCUGGGCAGGUAGCAGUCCCUGGCCUCUCCCCCUGGCUGAUCACUCUCCCUCAGGCAGUGGAGAUCUGCGUCUGGACACCCUCAGAUCCUGUCAUUGCCUGCCCAGAGUCCUUCAGGGGCACCCCUCUGCCUUGGUGUGCAGUCCAGGGCUCUCACCCAGGUGCCGCACCCUCUGGGGUCUUCUGUCCAGCUCCCUUGCCCCAUGUGCUGUCACUGACUCUCCUUGGGACUCGCCUGCCUGCUCAGAGCCCUGCAGGGCUUGGUCAGCUGCCUGUUCAGUGUCAACACUUCCCUGCACAUCUUAAAACUGGGCUUUAUUUUCGCUGAAGGAACUGUGUUGGGACCCUUGACAUCUGUCAGGUUUGCACAUGCUGUUUUUUUUUCUCAGCCCACGUGUUCUCCCCCACGUGGGGUAGCAGCAGGACAGACAGUGAAUCACAGAGUCUGCCCUGAGCAGAGGCUGCUGUCCCUGGGACUCCUAGCCAUGGUCAGACUGUACAAAACGGUUUUCCAGAAAUGAAAUGUAAAUCCAUUUUUAUACUGAAAAUGUUACUGAAAGUCACUUUUAUGAGCAUCUGCCUUAAUAAACAGACAUUGAUUCCCUUAUCAGAA